rnacentral:rRNA from 1 species
UACGUAGGUGGCGAGCGUUGUCCGGAUUUACUGGGCGUAAAGAGCGCGCAGGCGGUCGUACAAGUCGCGUGUGAAAGCCCCCGGCUCAACUGGGGAGGGUCAUUCGAUACUGUUCGACUGGAAGGCAGGAGAGGGAAGCGGAAUUCCCGGUGUAGUGGUGAAAUGCGUAGAUAUCGGGAGGAACACCAGUGGCGAAGGCGGCUUCCUGGCCUGUUCUUGACGCUGAGGCGCGAAAGCUAGGGGAGCAAACGGG